AAUGAUGAGACUCCGAUUAUAUGUAUUGUGCCACAGAGCAAAGGAGCCGACUCAAAGAUUUUCGUUUCUCUCUGUCCGUCCAUAGUCUAGAUUUUCCUUUAUGUUCAUUGUAUGUAUACAUAUGUAUGGCCUUUUGUACGGGUGAGUUGUAUUGCUGAGUUAAUCAGAACUCCAUUAAAAGUUAUUUUGGUAUCAGAGCCCUUAGAUUCAAAGCUCUAGUUGCAUCAUGAAGCUAUGGAACCAAAGAGCUAACCUCUGAGCCUCUGUUUAUUCUCUUAACACCAACCUGUCACUGUCGGUUAAUGAAGGAUUCUCCACGGAAGGGCAUAAUGACUCCAUUGCUUUCAACCUACGGAUUGCUCGAUCACGUCGAAGGUCGAGCCAUUGCACCAAGCAAGACUACUGCAGGAGCUGAUGGAAAGGAUGUACCGAAUCCAGAGUAUCUGAAGUGGCAGUGAAGGGACAACUUUGCCCUCACCUCUGUGCUUGCCAUCACAGAGGAGAUUGGAGUAACCGUUCUGUCUGCUACAACAUCUUAGGAAGGGUGGAGUUUUCCUUGAAACAUCGUUCCCCACAAACCGCAACCUAGGAGGAUCUUCUUGACCAACAGUGGCGCGACUUGAAGAAAGGAACUCAAUCGAUGGCCAAGUUCAUCGGAUUAGUCAAGGAGUAGGCCCUUAUGCCCAGAUUGGGAAACCAAAGACUCCCGCUGAGAUUAUCGCCGGAUUUAUACCGGUCUCGGUCCUGACUAGGAGCCUAUCGUUCUUGCUCAAUCCGAACGUAUGCUCACAAUUAGUACGAAUGAGCUCCAAUUCUUGCUAGUCGGCCACGAAGAGAGUCGUAGCUAUGCUGCAAACCAAGGAUCGCAGAUAAACUCCUCCGCUGCUGCUCUUGCUAACGCACCUCUCUCCGGAAUUCUGGCCCCUUUCCGGCCGAAAUUCAUUACACAAAUGGGCGCAACAAUGACUGCAACAAGAACGGCCAAAGUUAUGGUCGUGGCAAAGGAAAGAGAAGAGGGAAAGGCAACGAGAAGGGUUCCUCUGAUCGUGGGAGUAGCUCCGGCAAUGGUGGCAGCCCUACACAUAGAGCUAAAGGACAGUCGGGUGGACAAGGCAAACCCAACUUCGGGUUUAAUGUCUUUUCGGGUCAAUUAUACCCGGGUCCGACCCGUGACCCACGACCUCAUCAAGGCAAUAGCUUCGGACCCCCUUCUUUGCUCGGCCCAAUCCAAUCCCCUAUGGUGUCCGAGGCCCAAUCUCUUUCAGCCCGUUUCAGAACCGGUCCAACUCCUCGGUUCUUUGUCAAACCUGCAACUGGCCCGGGCAUAGUGCUACAUUUAUUCAAUUUAACCAGUUUUCUGCUGCUCCGGCUCUUCUGACCCAUGGCUCCCCUUCGGGACUUCAUGAUACUGGCUGGUAUAUGGACUCAAGUGCUACACACCAUAUUACCUCAAACCUGUCUAAUCUUAGUCUCUGUGAUGACAUCCCAAAUUCAGAUAAUGUUUUUGUGAGUGAUGGAUACUCAUACACGCCGAGAGCUUAUGCGUGGCCCAGUUAAAGACGGACUUUACUGCUUUCAUCCAAGACACAGGCGCACCGAUAGUCCUCAGGCUCAUCCCUCUCCAUCUGGUUCAAGUGUCUUUGUGGCGUCAAUGCCUUGGUCACUCGUCUUUCCCUAUUGUUCGUCGUGUCUUAAGUUCUCGUUCUCUCAAUAAUGAUCAUGUUGGUCAUAUAUGUCUUGCAUGUCAACAAGGGAAAUUAAUAAACACAUCUUUUUCGCCUACUCUUAAUAAAGCAACCUCUUUGUUUGA